rnacentral:misc_RNA from 1 species
GAAAAAACAAUGAAGAACAAUUUAAUGUUGUUUUCCAAAUCUUGGUUAAAUUUUGGAAAGCUGAGAAACUAGUUUCCCAAUUUUCCAUUUGGAAAACUGAUACAGUUAAACAUAAAACUCUGUUUUCCAGUUUUCUUAUAAAUUUUUUCUAGAUAACUAUUGCAAUGUUUCACAAGUAAACAACCCUAAUUAUCCCUAUUUUAUGCAUCAAUAAUGGUAUAUGUGUCUUCACUAAAUAGCCAACACUUACUUUCUAUGUUUGAAAACCUUCUAUAAGAAAUUAUCCCAAUGUCAAUGAGUAUAAACGUUUAUUUAUUUUAAAUUUCAUUGAAUUAGUUUUUG